CCCCCCCAAUAUUGAAGCCAGGCGCAGCAUCGCGUUACGUCACUGUACUCCCCCUCCCCUCUCUGAACUGCUGAGUGAGCACUCAGAAGGGAGGGAAACAGCGACACAGAAGUCAGAAACUUGUGAAUGAGUACAAUGCCACCACCAACUAAAAGGCUGAAACAGCAGCAGGACUUACUCAGCUUUUUUAAAAAGAGUAACGUCAGUGUGAGUAACAGUCACACAACACAAGGGCAACACCUGUGUUGCCCUUGUGUUGAAAUUAGCCCGGUCUGGGCGUGCGUUUUACGAGGAUUUUUUAUUUUUUGCGUGGUUUUGCUUAGCCGAAAUGGACAGAUAUUAUACCUGCCGCGCUCCUGAUCGUUGGUUAAAACCACAGGGAGAGUUAAUUUUAAUUCUUAGCAGCGGCUAACCAACUAAUUAACUUCUGCACCUUUAUUUCCUCAAAUAAACUGCUGGCUCCUCUUUUUAGACUAUAAAUAGAUUAACACAACAUUGACAACUCUGUAGUUUUCUCUGUUCUGUACUGCAAAUUGGAAUUAAAGGCGCCAUUUCUACCAAAGGUCUGGACAGACUGGCGAC